UCAGUAGGCCAGGGGAUCUGGAAAUAUUCUUCGGGUUGCCAUUCUUGAUGUUCCAGCACCCAGAGGCAAAUGGACACUGAUGUGCUUGACAAGAGCCUCCUUUUGUAACCCUAUCAGUAAUUGCCCUUCCUAUGUGACCCAACGGGGGUUUAGAAGAAUGUGUUUGCUUCCCCUUCUGCCAGAUUGUAAGUAUCCUGAGGUCUCCCCAGUCCUGUGAAACUGUGAACAAGUUCUGAGUUCUUGUCCCACAACUGAGAAGAAUGAGGUACACAGACAUCAGAAACACAUCACCACCUUCUGCUAGCUAUGCAAUGCUCUCCAUCCUACAGGACUCACAUCCAGAUGUGCUUGCUUCCCCUUCCCCUUCCGCCAUGAUUGUAAAUUUCCUGAGGACUCGCCAGCCAUGCUUCCUGUACAUCCAGUGGUACUUUUGCCUAUCUUUACCAAGAGCUUGAUGAUUUGAACCACUGACUGAUUGCCCUGUACUUGGAGGAUGUGAGGAAGCAGAAUUGAGCCAAUAAAGAGAAGAGGAAGAAGGAGCCACAGAACUGAGUGGGAUGUCCCCUGAGCACUCCUUGGUGGAGCAAAAGUCUUGCAAGUCUCUAGUGCGCUGGGCAGGCUGAGGGCGUUCAGCCGAGAACACAGCUCUGUAAAUACAUCAGCGAGGAUGCAUAUAUACAGUUUCCCCAGUGCUCCCUCAGACCCUUGGAGGCUGGGCUACUCCAAGCUCUGUUUCCUGCAAAAAAAUGGAGUAAGUCCUGUGGAGUCUAAAUACACAUUC
rnacentral:lncRNA from 10 species